rnacentral:rRNA from 1 species
AUUGAACGCUGGCGGCAUGCUUUACACAUGCAAGUCGAACGGUAACAGGCCUUCGGGUGCUGACGAGCGGCGAACGGGUGCGUAAUGCAUCGGAACGUGCCCAGAGCUGGGGGAUAACGCAGCGAAAGCUGUGCUAAUACCGCAUGUGAUCUGAGGUUGAAAGCGGGGGACCAGGCAGCAAUGUUUGGCCUCGCGCCUUUGGAGUGGCCGAUGUCAGAUUAGGUAGUUGGUGGGGUAAAGGCCUACCAAGCCGACGAUCUGUAGCUGGUCUGAGAGGACGAUCAGCCACACUGGAACUGAGACACGGCCCAGACUCCUACGGGAGGCAGCAGUGGGGAAUUUUGGACAAUGGGCGCAAGCCUGAUCCAGCAAUGCCGCGUGCGGGAAGAAGGCCUUCGGGUUGUAAAACGCUUUUGUACGGAGAGAAAAGGCUCUGGCUAAUACCUGGGGCUGAUGACGGUACCGUAAGAAUAAGCACCGGCUAACUACGUG